UUUUUAUGGGAGUUUGAUCCUGGCUCAGGACGAACGCUGGCGGCGUGCCUAAUACAUGCAAGUCGAACGCUUC
rnacentral:rRNA from 1 species